GAUGAACGCUGGCGGCGUGCCUAAUACAUGCAAGUCGAGCGAACAGAUGAGGAGCUUGCUCCUCUGACGUUAGCGGCGGACGGGUGAGUAACACGUGGAUAACCUACCUAUAAGACUGGGAUAACUUCGCGAAACCGGAGCUAAUACCGGAUAAUAUAUUGAACCGCAUGGUUCAAUAGUGAAAGACGGUUUUGCUGUCACUUAUAGAUGGAUCCGCGCCGCAUUAGCUAGUUGGUAAGGUAACGGCUUACCAAGGCAACGAUGCGUAGCCGACCUGAGAGGGUGAUCGGCCACACUGGAACUUAGACACGGUCCAGACUCCUACGGGAGGCAGCAGUAGGGAAUCUUCCGCAAUGGGCGAAAGCCUGACGGAGCAACGCCGCGUGAGUGAUUAAGGUCUUCGGAUCGGAAAACUCUGUUAUUAGGGAAGAACAAAUGUGUAAGUAACUAUGCACGUCUUGACGGUACCUAAUCAGAAAGCCACGGCUAACUACGUG
rnacentral:rRNA from 1 species